UACGGAGGGUGCAAGCGUUGCCCGGAUUUAUUGGGCGUAAAGGGCGCGUAGGCGGCCACGCACGUCCGUUGUGAAAUCGCUCGGCUCAACUGGGCGGGGUCAGCGGAUACGGAGUGGCUGGAGCAAGCUAGGGGGCAAUGGAAUUCCCGGUGUAGUGGUGGAAUGCGUAGAUAUCGGGAGGAACACCAGUGGCGAAGGCGGUUGCCUGGAGCUUUGCUGACGCUGAUGCGCGAAAGCGUGGGGAGCGAACAGG
rnacentral:rRNA from 1 species